ACAAGAAGGGUUUCUGCAGAUAUGUUAGCAACAAGAAGGAGGUCAGGGGAAGUGUGGGACCCGUACUGAAUGGGGGAGGCAACCUAGUAACAGAUGAUGUGAAAAAAGUGGAAGUACUCAAUGCCUUUUUUUGCCUCUGUCAUCACAGACAAGGUCAGCUCCCAGACUGCAGCACUGGGCAACACGGUUUGAGGAGGAGGUGAGCAGCCCUCAGUGGAGAAAGAAGUGGUUCAGGACUAUUUAGAAAAGCUGAAGGUGCACAAGUUCAUGGGUCCAGAUCUAAUGCAUCCAAGGUUGCUGAGGGAGUUAGCUGAUAUGAUUGCAGAUCCACUGGCCAUUAUCUUUGAAAAUUUAUGGCAAUCAGGAGA